CUUGCGUGAUUUGCACAUCCGCCUCAGCUGCUGCUUUGAAGCCUCCUCAACCGCCUGCAUCCAUAUUACCACUUUAAACUCGAAUUUGACAUCACACCUUUUGGCCAGCAUCUCCCACAAGUGGCUUUGUUUACGGAGGUCCAUCAAACUGGCUGGAUACUUUGAUCCAAGAAGGUCCGUGGGAGGAUCAGGCAUACCACAUACCUGUUGCGUCAGGUCUACCCUCUUGUAUUUGAGGUUGAAUGUCUUUGCAAUGCACUCGAGUGCAUCCACUUCGUCAGGCAUCAGGGGGCAAGUGUGCAAUGUUAUUUCCCAAUCCCAUCGAUCCGAAACUGGCGUGUCCAUAUGACACAGCGUUGAGUACAUAGCGUCCAACCUGCGCACAGCCAACUAUUGCUCCAAGUCAGACCAUGCUUAAUUUAAAUCUCAUAAAGUUUGCGCACAGCAUUGGCCGCUGCCAGCAUGUCAAUUACAUAUGGUGAAACAAGUAGGUUUUGCCCACACUCCGCAGUUCACAAUACAAUUUCUGCGAAAGCUCAGUUGGUCAGGCUUGUAAAAGUCAUGUACCUGGCAGCAACACGCUCCGGCUCCCACUUUGCAUGUUGGACUAGGGAUUCGCUCAGGCCAUAGAUUGAAAAGAGGACAUACUCCCACACAACUUCUCCCUCGCUCUUGCCCUUUUGCUUCCAUUCUCUGAUUUGUGUUGGUAAAUAUGGGAGUCUGUAAGCCUCCUGAACGUGCUCUGCAAGCCGCAACACUGCUGUGAGCUGUGCUCAGCCAACCGAACUGGCCACACACCAUUGUCAACUUGAAGACGUACCGUAUUGCACACUGCUGCUGCUGGAGCUGAUGAUAAGAUAGUUGUUAUUACCGCUUUACUGUUCCUCAGGACCAGAAACUUCAAGCAAGACAUAUGCUGCUGCUUUCCAAUCUUCUCGGUUCUUGCAUCCUCUCCACCAUUCAUACUAUGUAGGCAUGACGUACGUCGCGAUCAGUGUAUCAAGAUAUUUUCGGACAUAACUUCCAACUCUAGAAGGGCCUGCCCCUAGCCGCAUUCCCCGGCAUCGUUCUGAACAUCUUUUGUAAGGCUGAGCUGGAUGUACGCACCCAUUAUCCCGCGCAUGUGCAGGCGGGAACACGAGCGCAUACAUGUCAUGCUGACGCGUUGAAGGAUGCCACCAGUUUGCACCAUCUUCAAUUGAGUCUCCAGGACCUUCUUCUGUUCUUGCAGGACCUCCAUUUCUGUACUGGAGAUCUGCAGGGAAACAUGAAUCACCGCACAGUGUUCAAAACAGAUGAUGCAGUGUAUCGUGUAGCAAGCAAGCAUCAAUUCCCAAGGGCUGAGCAUGCAUGACCUUGCCUACACAUCCAAAAAGAGUGACUUGCCUGUGAAUCCUUGCCCCGCAUCAUGUCUAUGGCUUUGCAAGCUAUGAUUCUCAGAUCUCCGCUCAAAAGCGCUGCCACCAUGCAGGGCGGGAGUCCUCCUCCUUUGAGAACCUCCUGAAAGUUCAAAGGUGAAUACAGCUGUCGCACAUAGGAGGUAAAGGCCAAGCAGAACAAGCGGGGUCCUUGGAUAGCAGUGGCAGUAUGUCACCUCGUCGAUUGGUGCCCAGAAUUUGCUAUCAAUAUCAGGCCUCGAUUCCGUGCUCGAGUCCCCCGAAGAGGCACAUCGUCUUUGCUUAGGCAAGAUGCUGCUUGGAGCAUUAUCCAGAAGCCUUCUCUUGACGAUAGCAAUUUUGGGAACUAUUACAAACGCCAGUAAUCUUCGAUGCAUUCUAAGGAGGGCAGCUUUUGAUGUUCACGUAGCAACUGUCGAGGAGUUAAGAACGAAGGAAGUCGACUGGCUACAACCUCAUGUAUCGCUGACUCAAGCUGGCUGCAACUUGCAGCUUUGUGAAUGGACGGUUCAAACAAACUAGCGUAAAAAGAAAUGUUUGCUUUUCCAACUUGGCUUUUGGUUAGGGAGCAUCUGUAGGAGAGAAGGCAGGAAAUUAUCAGCUUCAUGGUCGUGCCACAAUCCUCGAACGAGUAAAAUGCCAUCGAUCUGCAGGUGUUCCCUGAUGCGCAGCCUGACCCUCUCAAGCUGAUGUUGACAUAACCUGCUGGUUAAGUCGUGCAUAGUUGCACGACACCUGACACGCGUGUCAGGUGUCGGAGUGUCGCGAACGUUCGCAAACGCGUGUCCAAAUUUUGGCCAUUUCCGACACCGCUCCGACACCGGGUUACGUAAGGGUUACGUUUGACCGUUUCUGACCGUUUUUGGCCGCUU
rnacentral:lncRNA from 1 species